UCGUUACUGGGCAGAGAAGCAUCGCCCUUCCCUGAGGGACCAAGGGCCACCAACACAUCCCUGGUGGCACAGCGAGAGUGGGAUGGCACAGCCGGAGGGGGAUAGCACAGCCAGUCCCUGCCAUGGCCACCGGGUCAGUGCCAUGUACCCCCGUGCCUGUCCCAGCCCCCCCUGCCCUGCCUGGGCACAGAACCCUGGAUGGCUACGACGAUGCCACGGCUGGAACCCUGGAUGGCUAUUAUGAUGCCACGGCUGUGCCAGAGGAGUCCCCCACUCCCAGCACUGGGGACAUCUCCGAGGGGGUGGCACAGAGGGGCUGGAUCUGUGUCCCACCCACAGGUGGGAGCUGCCCCCCUCCAAGUCCCCCUGGAGCCACAAGGGACCCCCCAGGACAGCCCCCGGGGCACAUGGACUGUGAUGAUGUCGGCACCGGUGCCCUGGGGACGUCGCAGUGAGGAUGUCCCGGCCACGUCCCAUCCCUGGGGACACGUGUGCAGGGUGGGGGGGCUAUGGCCAUGGAGGUCACCUCUCCCUGACCAGGUCUGCAGUGCAGGCAGAAAAGUGCUCUAGUGUAGGGAUUUUCUUUUAUAUCAAUGUGAAUUUCUCUUUUUUCCUAUUAAAACCCCAAACUGGCUGAAGACUCA